rnacentral:lncRNA from 1 species
CUGGCCUGGCAGAGCUGGACCUGCAGCGGACGCUGAGUUUGCAGGCGCCACCUGUGAAGGAGGGGCCACUCUUCAUCCACAGGACCAAGGGCAAGGGCCCCCUCAUGUCCUCCUCCUUCAAGAAGCUCUACUUCUCCCUCACUACCGAGGCCCUCAGCUUCCCGAAGACGCCCAGCUCCAAGGGGCCUCCUGCUGCGCACUCCAAGGGGGUGCACGUUUCCAAAGAGAGAUCAAGGGACAUGGGGAAAGGAGAAAGGACCCACAAGUGCUAUUUGCUGGCUACAAAGUCCCCCACCCCUUGGAGCACAAGAUCAUCAUCCGAGUGCAGACCACGCUGGACUACAGCCCCAGGAAGCCUUUACCAACGCCAUCACCGACCUCAUCAGUGAGCUGUCCCUGCUGGAGGAGCGCUUCCGGGUGAGGGCAGGGCCUGGAGGGGCAGACGGGGUGGGCUGGACACUGGCCCAUGUGCCCAGGCCUGGGACAGCCCUGGCCUGUUUCUUCGGAGGUCCUGGGGGAGAGGCGGCGGUGAUGGAAGAGCAGGGACUUCCACCACAGGCUCCAGGACAUGUGAACUGAGGGGCUGUGGAGUCUGGGCCUGUGGCUCCC